AAGUCGGGGCGGUCCCUCAGCCACCUGACCAAGAGCUGAGCAGCUCCCCCGGGGCCUGUCGCCCGGUCCCAGCCCAGGGCCCAGACAACAGGGCUCCUCAGGGGAUUCCUGUUUGCUCUCCAAUCGUAGGCGCUCCUGCCUGUGGUUAAACGGGGUACAUCCUUUCUUUUGACCCUGAGAAACCUGACCAGCUGGACGGCACGGAUUCCUGACAUUUUUAUGAGCAUUUUUCCUUUCCUUCGCUCCCUCCACCAGGAAUGCCAGACUGCCCCGUCUCCACCUGCUGAUAAUGUUUAAGGCGCGUCCCAGUGCCACCCCUACAAGGAGCCUUUCUUCAUGCAGCCCUACCAAGCAGACGUGACCUCCCUCUCCUCUGAACGUGGAACGCUUGGAGCACCUUCCGCGUGGCUCUCGCGUCUGCCCUGUAUGGUGGUUAUGUGUAUAUUCCCCUCUGUAGGCUCCUGGAAACAGGGCUUGUGUCCAGACUUCACUCCCGGAGUCACCCAGUGCUGCGCCUGACACUAGGAGACAUCUGAUAUUUGUGUGGAAUGUAUCUUUGUGCGUCCAGAAUUACCUUGCUUACCUUCCCAGAAUGGCAUGUGGGUUACAUGACCAGCCAGGAGGUCACCACCACCUCCGAGAAUCUGGAAACAGGCAAACAAGAUUUCCCUUGGAGAUCAAGGUUGCCAGAUUCAGCAAAUCAAAAGACAAGCUUCCCAGUUAAUUAGAAUUUCAGAUAAAUAAGGAAUAAUUUUUUAGUGUAAGUAUGUCCCACGCAAGAUGUAGGACAUGCUUAGACUGAAAAAAUAUUCAUUGUUUAUCUGAAAUUCAGAUGUAUUGUAUCUGGGAACCCUACUUGGAGAGCUAAAGUAUCAAACUGACACACAUGGAGUACAAGGAAGAAAUGUCAUCACCCUAAGAGGUCAGCACGGGUCCUUCAGCAAGACAGGAUUGUAAUUGGAGGAUAUAAGAAAAGUAUAUUUACAAAAACACUUUGAACCGGGGCUGGCCCCGUGGCCGAAUGGUUAAGUUCGCACGCUCCGCUGCAGGCGGCCCAGUGUUUCGUUAGUUCGAAUCCUGGGCACGGACAUGGCACUGCUCAUCAGACCACGCUGAGGCAGCGUCCCACAUGCCACAACUAGAAGAACCCACAAUGAAGAAUGCACAACUAUGUACCGGGGGGCUUUGGGGAGAAAAAGGAAAAAAU
rnacentral:lncRNA from 1 species